CAGAAGGAUGAAGUAGCUGCAGCUGAGAUACCUGCUCAGCCUUCUCAUCAUCAUCACCUCUGACCUUCAGCAGUGGCCUUCACUCAGGCCUCUAAUCCUGCAGGUCUGAGGGCUCCAGGAUGAGGAUAGCACAUUGGUCACCAGAGAACCAGCCUGAUCUGAACUGAAAGGUUCUCUGUGCUCACAGCGAAUGGAUAUGUCUAUACCUCUGUGACAUCAUCAGGAGAUCUGGACCAAUCGACCUGAUGCUGCUUGUCAAACCAGUGGGAUCCAUAAAAAUGUGUCAAGAAAUGGAUCCUUAAAAGAAGGUCAGCUGGUGACAUAGGCUGUCCACAAAGAAAACAAGUCCACAGGAGCUCACAGUACAAAUCAAUUUGGGAGUUAUUUUGAGAGCCCACCGCUGGCCUAUUCUAGUCCUGCCCACCAGCUCAUCAGAGAGGGCCCAUUGAUGAAGACUCUCAAUUACCAUAGUAACUCACACAGUAGGUAGGAAGUCCCCCCAACCCCCCAAACCCAAUCUCAGCACCAGCACCACCAGGCCCCCAUUCUGCCAGCUCCAUGCUCACCUUGUCACAAUGAACAACAGAAAAGCUCUGUGGUGGACAAUAAAAAAAGAAAAAAAGCCGCCAGCUCCAGGCCCUGAGAAAAGUGAGCCAUUCUACUUACAAAGAGCCGCUUAGGGGUGGAUUGAGGGAAGGAAAAAGAGGGCUAAAACACUUGUGGGCUCAUGGAACUCUAUAGGGGGAGCGAAAAUGGAAUAAGCCAGCAAGCACUUGAGGGUCCCGCCAAGCACCUGAAUGGGAUAGAGGGGUGGAGCGCCAGAGGGGGGUCUGGGGAAGGUGAAUGGCCUUCUUUUUGGGUCCAAUUUGUCUCUUUUCACCCUGCUCGCCCUGCUCCGACUCUGACAGAUGUACAAAGAGGGAGCGGCGCUGGGCCACUCAUCCACAUACGCCCGUGAGCAGCUGUCACUUUUGUAAGACAAGUUAAUCAAACAAAUGCCACCGUACCUCCCUUUUUAACAAGGCGGAGAGAAAGAGGGAUGGAAGGGGGCUGUAAAAGGGUGAUAGAGACCCGAGAGAUGACAUGUGUGUCCUCGAUCAAUUCACCGCACCAGCCCAUCAAUAAACCAGCAGGACCUGACAAAGGAGAAGUUUCCAUUAAACUUGUAUUUCCCUCCUCUCGGGAUGACCAUGGCUUUAGUGUCCUUAGCUGUUUCCUCCUGGCAACACGGCGCUGGGAAUGCUCACAGAAGAUUUAGACCCAAAAGAAACGAAGGAGGGAAACAAAAUGCUCUCUCCCAGUAAUUAUUAAGGACUCUAAGCUGCUUACAGACUUCAUUAAAUGGAGGUGAAACCUUUUCAGAACAUGUUUUGAACAGUCACACAGUCAAUCUAACCUAUCCCGCUUUGCUGGUCUUUUUUUAUUAUUGUGACCUACGACUACGGCCAUUAUUUUCCUCCCUAUUGGUUUGUGUAAUCCUUUUACAGUUACUUUACUUCAACCUAAAAGAGAUUACUGACUGGCAUGAAAAACAAGAGGACAUCAAUGCAGUAUUGCAGUCAUAUUGUUGUGGAUAAAGGGUGAAAGACAUCUGGUCAUUGUCUCUCAGAAACAGCAAACUGAAAGAGUGAAUGCUACAGAAAAACAUUGCAGAGAAAAACUGCAGCUACAAUGUUGGUUGAUGUAAUAGGUUCUAGUUUUCUUAUUGGGUAUCAGUAUCAUGUUUUAUGUCAUUUUACAAAAUUCUGUUGUCCAAAUGAAUGUCUCAAAGCAAUUUAUAAUCAACAAUUGUCAAAAAAAUGUGUUCAAGAUUUUGUUUUAACUUUGUGAAGAAUUAAUUUGUGGUUGGUAGUUUUGCAUUUGCUAUCUUGUUAUUUAGGCUACAGCUAAGGAUCGUUGUGGUUGUUUAAAUUUUUCUUUGUUGAUGAAUCAUUUAGUCUAUAAAAUGUCAGAAUAUGCCCAUCAGAAGUUCCCAAAAUCCAAAUCUUCUCAUUUUUGAAGUUGGAACAGAUUAGUUUAGUACUUUUAUAAAGCAAAAAUACAACUCAUCCAUCAUCAAGAUUUUUGGUGACUCAUUUUUUAUUUUAUAUUACAGUUGAUCAAUUAAUCAACUAAUCUAUUGAGUUGCAAUCAAGAUAUAUAUCGAUAGCAGACAAUUAGUCUAAUUAACAUCCUUAUACUGAUUUCAAUCAUAU